AUUGAACGCUGGCGGCAUGCUUUACACAUGCAAGUCGAACGGUAACAGGCCGCAAGGUGCUGACGAGUGGCGAACGGGUGAGUAACGCAUCGGUACGUGCCCAGUCGUGGGGGAUAACGCAGCGAAAGCUGCGCUAAUACCGCAUACGAUCUAUGGGUGAAAGCGGGGGACCGUAAGGCCUCGCGCGAUUGGUGCGGCCGAUGUUAGAUUAGGUAGUUGGUGGGGUAAAGGCUCACCAAGCCGACGAUCUGUAGCUGGUCUGAGAGGACGACCAGCCACACUGGGUCUGGGACACGGCCGAGACUCCGACGGGAGGCAGCAGUGGGGAAUUUUGGACAAUGGGGGCAACCCUGAUCCAGCAAUGCCGCGUGCAGGAAGAGGGCCUUCGGGUUGUAAACUGCUUUUGUACGGAACGAAACGGUCCUGGUUAAUACCCGGGGCUAAUGACGGUACCGUAAGAAUAAGCACCGGCUAACUACGUGCCAGCAGCCGCAGUAACAC
rnacentral:rRNA from 1 species